rnacentral:rRNA from 1 species
AUGAACGCUGGCGGCGUGCCUAAUACAUGCCAGUCGAGCGAACAGACGAGGAGCUUGCUCCUCUGACGUUAGCGGCGGACGGGUGAGUAACACGUGGAUAACCUACCUAUAAGACUGGGAUAACUUCGGGAAACCGGAGCUAAUACCGGAUAAUAUAUUGAACCGCAUGGUUCAAUAGUGAAAGACGGUUUUGCUGUCACUUAUAGAUGGAUCCGCGCCGCAUUAGCUAGUUGGUAAGGUAACGGCUUACCAAGGCAACGAUGCGUAGCCGACCUGAGAGGGUGAUCGGCCACACUGGAACUGAGACACGGUCCAGACUCCUACGGGAGGCAGCAGUAGGGAAUCUUCCGCAAUGGGCGAAAGCCUGACGGAGCAACGCCGCGUGAGUGAUGAAGGUCUGCGGAUCGUAAAACUCUGUUAUUAGGGAAGAACAAAUGUGUAAGUAACUAUGCACGUCUUGACGGUACCUAAUCAGAAAGCCACGGCUAACUACGU